CACGUGGGGUGUUACCCAGGGUCACCUAGCAGCAAAUGCCCAGGCUGCUUCCACGACUGAUAUUAUGAAGCUUACAGCGGAGUGACUUGCCAUCAGGAAGGCUCCUGUCUGCCAAGACACCAGCACGCCCUGCCACCAGCAAUAAUUGCCAACAAGAAUAGCAGACCGUGUAAGAUAAGAAAGAUUGUAAGCUGUUCAGCCAACUAGAAUCGUCUGUGCUAAUGACUGGCAGGCAUCACAGGUUCCUUAUUUCAUAGGACAAACAUCAGAAGCACCAUCUCAGAUGUGCUUGCCAUGAGGAUAAAAUGAGAUGCCGUGUGAAGAUGACACAAGGUGUCUAAGCUCUGGGAAGGUUCUGUGAAAUCCAUGUAGGGACAGGGAAGCUGUCAGAGGGAAUUUGGGGCUAAUACUAGCCAGAAGCCAUACAGUUUAAAAGGAUGCUCUGACAGGCAGCUGACGAUGAGCAGCUUUGCAUGGGGAAGUUAGUUAAGAGGGCUUGUGGAGUCAUAUUUUUUUGAUCUGUGGAGGGAUGGGUAUGUAUAUGUGAGAGCAAGCAUGUGUGUGCUGCAGGAUGCUAAGGGCAGAGGACAGCCUCAGGUGUCAACAUUCUCUUUUCACCAUUUCUGAGACAGGGUCUCUGUUAUUUGCUAGCUCAAGCACCAGGGUAACUGUGAGCUAUGGGGAAUUGUCUCAUCUCCACUUCCCAUCCAUCUCUCCACAGAAACACUGAGAGUGCAGAGGUGUGUACUAUCAAAUGGGGCUCACAACGGAUU
rnacentral:lncRNA from 1 species